UACGGGGGGAGCAAGCGUUGUUCGGAUUUACUGGGCGUAAAGCGCGUGUAGGCGGUUCGGUAAGUCCGCUGUGAAAGUCGGGGGCUCAACCCUCGGAUGCCGGUGGAUACUGUCGGGCUUGAGUACGGAAGAGGCGAGUGGAAUUCCUGGUGUAGCGGUGAAAUGCGCAGAUAUCAGGAGGAACACCAAUGGCGAAGGCAGCUCGCUGGGACGGUACUGACGCUGAGACGCGAAAGCGUGGGGAGCAAACAGG
rnacentral:rRNA from 1 species